CUCGUUUUCACCCAUUAAGUAACCGCCACCGCAGCAAGUUUUCAGCCUUUCUCCCAAUCGAACCAGCAAGGGGAAAUCUCCCGCAAUACUUGUAGUACCGUUUCCUCUUACUUCAUAUAGAAGUACUCGUUCAAUAUUCAUCAACAAUCUCUCUCCAGUUGCAAUCCAUAAGAAGGUUUUGAUCCGUUGCGUAAUUUUUACGCUGGAUAGUGCGGCAAAUCAGUACACAGUAGAAGUCGUGCAUACGCUUCGCGCCCAAUCCUAAGCUAUCGCCGACAAUUAUCAGCCUGAAGGUAAAAUAACACUUCCAAUGGCUGGCCAUGGAAGCAAAAGAAGUGAAAUUUCAGCCAUUCCGCCUCGAAAAAUCAAUGUGGAGAAAUUUGUACAGUCACGCGCUUCUGAGCUUGAGGCUCUUCACUCAAUCGUAUCUGACCGAUUGAGCAACGAUUUCCGGUCUCGAAGAAACAAGAGAAGAAGAACCACUGCGUAUGACAAUCAAGUUGCGAAGAAGAGAUAUAAGAAAAGGAGGAAAUUAGGAGUAGUAGUUGAUAAAAGCAAUGCCGUGGCGUCGGAGCAAAACCAUGAAAGGGUUCCUCCUCGUCGAGUUCGGCGGAGACUUGACCUUAGAAAGAAUUCUGAACGUGGUUUCUCUACUUCAGGCGAAGGGAUGAAGAGGCUGAGAACGCAUGUUUGGCAUGCAAAGAGGUUCACAAUGACAAAGCUGUGGGGUUUCCACCUUCCCCUGGGUUUGCAUGGCAGAGGAAGGGGGUCUAGAGCUUUAUUGAAGUGGUACAAGCAUGGAGCUCUUGUGCACGAUGCGAGCUAUUAUACUGCUGUCCAGUUGGAGGGUCCAGAGGAUUCGUUAACGUCAAUACUAAGGAUGGUGCUCGAGCCUUCUUCAUUAGCUCAAUCUGAGGAAAUUACCAAAGGUAUUCUUUCUGGUCUUAUCUAUGGAACUGCCAUGGUAGAUUACUUCACUGCAAUUACUUUAUUUUAUUUUAUUUUUUCCAAAGAAGGAUAAUCUAAGGACGUGUUCAUGUAAAAUUCCUUGUUUUUUCAGCUUCAUCGUGUUGGAACUCCUGUUUCUCCGUUGAUAGCUCCUGUGACUUAUACGUGGUGACCUUAUCAUCUUUGGAAUGGAGAAAACAAUGGUAGUGACCGUAAUUCUGAUGGAUGCAAUGAGUUGCGAAGUUCUCAAUCUUGUCCUUCCCAUUGCCAGCUUUGGGUGUGGAUACAUGCUUCAGCUUUUAGUGAGGGAUAUGAUGCUCUAAAAUUUGCUUGUGAGAAACAUAUAUGUCCUUUUUGUUCUCGAAAGAAAUGCAUUUCAAUUUUGCUGUAGCUAAAUUGGUUUACAUUUGUUGACUUCACUAACUCAGAAAUGAGGUUUUUAAGAAUUCCUUUUCCUCUGAAAUCCCAGCUUGUUGGUAAAAACUUAUUGGCUGACCAUAUUUAUAUGUAUAUAUUCACCUUUUGUUUCUUGUCUCAUUUUCAUCUGUUUUAAAUUGGUAAAUCAUGUUCCCGUGGAUUGUAAUUUGGUUUCCCAAUGUUAGUUUUGCGUUGGAAUUAGAGAAUUUAAUUUUCAAUUAAACUACAUAUUUUAGAUUUUUGUUAUAUCUUAAUACGUGAGUUUCUUAGUUUUAUUUCUUAUUUUUCCAGAUGAGUGAGAGUGGCAUCUCGAUCAAUUGCUUCUCGCUUGAAGGCCAACUUGCAAAAUUAGAGGUAAUGGGAUCAAAGGCAUUUCAACUUCUUCAAAAGAUAUUACAUCCUGUUUAUUGUGAUUCAAAGAAUUCUUGGCAACCGAAGGAAUGUGUUGUUGAGGAGGCGGAUCAUAGUUCUGAGCUUAAGAAUUCUUCUAUACUUGAAAAUGAGGAGAAUAUUUCUUCAUGUUCAAUUUUUUAUUUAACGGUCAGGGAUCCUCGAGCAAUGCCUGAGACAAAGAUGGCUGACGUUCCUGUGGCAGCUGCUACUACAAUAAAUUAUUUGCCUGAAAAUGAACCUGGAAAGGAUGUUACUAUACAGGGAAAUCCAGAAAAGAAUAAAGAGUUAAUUCUGCUGCCAUGUUCAAAACCUGAAAGGGAUAGCAGUUUAUCUGAUAAAAGGGAUCUGUGGGAUGCUAGCUGCAGAGUAAGUCUCCCAGUGGAAGAGAACGUUCUUUGCUUGGAAAAACAUCAUUUACGUAUGGAUUUUGUUUGCCUUGAUAAUGCAAAAUCAGGGAUGCUGACUACUUCAACCAAGGUUCAGGGUUCAAGAUCUAGCCCUAUUGUUCUUCUUAAACUCAAUAAUGGAAUGGACUCAUUCAUGGGAUGGUCAAUAAUAAUCCCCUUGUGCUGGGUCAAGGUCUUCUGGAUGGCUUUCAUCUCCAAGGGAGCUCAUGCAAUAGGUCUUAGAGAGAAGCGAUGGAUUGCAUGUGAAGUAUGCAUACUUAACAAGCAGGCAGUUUUUAUAAUUUUUGGUAACAAAACAACGCAUGCUGUUUAUUUAUUUAUUUAUUUGCAGGUAGGUUUGCCAUUUUUUCCUUCAGAUUUUCCUGAUUGUAAUGCAUACUUGUCUUCUAUGACAAGUGAAAGUGCUGCCCUAAACCAAAAAGCAGAACAAGUAUGUCCUGCUGUAAGACCCUUGAAAGUGCCUGUUCCACCCCCAUGGAAUAGUGUCCGUGUUGCUGUUACAAAGGGGUGCAUUGCAGUGCAAGUGGCUUCAAGUUCUUGUGCAAAAGACAUAAUUGGUUGCAAUUCAUCGUCAAACUCUAGAUGUGAUAAUAGUGACAUAACAUCACUCAGAGUUGAUGGUAACUCAUUUGAUGGAAUUAUAGCAAGGACAUCCAGUUCAUUGGAUGAUUUCUUGAAUGAAAUCCAUGAUGAUUGUUCACUUUUAUUCCCUCAAGCUCCAAAUAGGAAGAUGAGGUUUCUAGAGUUUAUCAAUGAUGAAAGUAAACUUGUCCAACUUCAAAAUGGUAUUACCCAAAUGAAUUGUGACCGAAAAUUAUGUUUCGUUAGAGUUCUUCUCCAUGCAUAUAAAAAAGGCGUUUUUGAAGAGGGAGCAAUUGUAUGUGCACCUUGUCUUAGCGAUGUGUCGCUAUUGACUUCCAGGUAUUCUUCCAAAACUUCCCAUUCUUAUUUAUGAUACUUGUUACUUUGUUUGAAAAUAUGAGGUUUGCUUAAUUAUGUGAAUUCUUGCUGAAAUUAUGUUACGCUUCAUUUGGAUUGGUGUGAAUUUCAUAUAAUGAGGUAUUAAAUUUGAUAUCAUGUUCAAAUUUUAUAAUUUUUCACUUGGAACACAUCCAAAUCAUCAGUCAUUUUAAAUGCACACCUAUCCAAACAGAUUAUAGAUUCAUGAGAAAGGAUAAUAGGAGAGGGUAUUUUGCAAAGUUGCAAGGAUACUUGUGCUAGUAUCUCUCUCAUAUUUUCAGGAUUUGAGUGGGGCAACUAAUGAGCAGUGCAAAGAUCAUCUAAUCUAUGAGUGAAAGGAGAAGAGAGAGAAAGGGGGGUUGUGGUGUUGGUGGUUGAAAGUUAUCAUUUGGGAUUCCUACUGUUCAUCAGACUUAUGAUCUGAUGUUAUUUGAUAUGCUUGGCAUGUGCUUCAGGUCAGAAAAUAAUGAGACUGGACUUCAAAUUCCUGUGUCUUUGGUGAGGUCAUACUUCAAAGAGCAAUCUUCCGGCAAGUGGGAACUCCAGAUACCAGAAGAUUCUGCUGCUAGGGAAUCCCAUCGCUGGCCUAUUGGUUUUGUUACAACAGGAUUUGUUCGAGGGAGCAAGAAGCCAGUAGCGGAGGCCUUUUGUGAAGCAGUUUUACUAGCUCGCCUUAGGGAAGAACAGUGGAAUGAGAUACCUGUGAAGCAGAGGAGAAAAGAAAUAUAUGUUCUUGUAAGGAACUUGAGAUCUUCAGCAUAUAGACUUGCUAUGGCGACAAUUGUCCUGGAACAACAAGAAGAUGAUAUGGAGUUCGUGUGAGAUGCUGCACAUAUGACAACAAAUACACAGAUAAGUUAGGUAGAUUAUGUCGUGUAUUGCAUAAAUAGAUCAGAGCUGUUACAGGUAGAGGUAGUGAUAUGGUUUUGCUGAAACGGCAUAGAAGUCUCUCUCUCUCUCUCUAAAAAAAUUGCUUGUAAAGAGACGAUAGAAUAGGAAUCAGUACAUGGAAUAUUUAAAGGCUUUCCUUUUUUUUUUUUUAUUUGAAAUUAUUGCAAAGCUCAAAAAAGGGGAAUGGACAAGUGAAGUGCAGCGCGAUUUGAUUCGGACGAUGGGACCUGAUUGAACGUGUUUGUUAAAUGAGUUUUUAGGAGGCUGAAUCACUAUUACACUCUCAAGGUUU
rnacentral:misc_RNA from 1 species